GUGGGGUUGUUAGAACCAUUUAUUGGGAAGUUGUGCGACAGCUAUAUUAUAUAUCACAUAGCAUUAGUUAGCAACUCGUUUGCAUUUUUCCAUUAUUUCUGUCUCACAAACUCACAACACAAGAUGGAGAUAGUUAGUUUCAUUCCCAAGUGUGGAAGCAUUAGGUACACAAGGAGAGGUGCAUAUCAUGAGCUCAAGAGCAACAAAGAGAAGUUCAACCAAAGAUCUUCAGAUUAUCAACAAAUCUAUGGAAAAAGUUAAGAGAUGGUUAUGUACAUGGUAUGCUAUGUAUGGCUGCGCAUGUUGCUCACUUGAACAAUGGUGAAAUUUGUUUUUUCAAGAAGAUUCAUUAUGAUGAUGGUGAUGAUGUUCUUUACUUGAAAGCCUCAUGAAAUUUUGAAACUGAGUACUUGUGUAAAUUGUUUAAUUGUGUUUUUGUAUUUCUUAUUUUGUUUGUAAGGCGAUAUGUAUGAUGAUUAUCUGCUUGCUUAGCAGUUACCAUGAGAAAAGGAACAUGAAUUUUCAAUAAAUUUGUCAUGUUUGUGUACUAAUAUAGUGAUGAGAACUUGAGAGCUUUAUAUCUGAAUGAAACAUGGUUGUCAACAUUGGAGGAUU